AACGAACGCUGGCGGCAGGCUUAACACAUGCAAGUCGAACGGGUGCAGCAAUGCAUCAGUGGCAGACGGGUGAGUAACACGUGGGAACCUUCCUAGGGGUACGGAACAACUCAGGGAAACUUGAGCUAAUACCGUAUACGCCCCCGGACUUGAUCCGGGGGGAAAGAUUCAUCGCCCCUAGACGGGCCCGCGUCGGAUUAGGUAGUUGGUGGGGUAACGGCCUACCAAGCCUGCGAUCCGUAGCUGANCUGAGAGGAUGAUCAGCCACACUGGGACUGAGACACGGCCCAGACUCCUACGGGAGGCAGCAGGUGGGGAAUCUUGGACAAUGGGCGCAAGCCUGAUCCAGCCAUGCCGCGUGAGUGAAGAAGG
rnacentral:rRNA from 1 species